CACACGUAAAAAAAAAAAAAAAUGUCGGUCAUGCAACUGAUGAAAGCAAGCAAGAAGCAAACACACGCAUAAACAGCUGCUUCUUGGCCUCUACCAUUUGUAGUGGGGACUCUGUGGGCCUCACACUCGCCUUGGAAGCAGAAUCUCGACAGCAGCGCCCGGAAAUAGAAGCGCCAUGAGCCGGACGCUAAUCAGCUGUUUGUCUGAGGCGAGGAAAGGGGCGGCUGCUCAAUUUAACUUUUCAGCGUCAUUAUCUCCUGUCAUGGAAACCAAGCAUCUUAGUACGGGAUCGACAUGUCCCCCUCAGGAGGUGGGAGUUCUGCGGUGCUACAGUAUGAAGUUCUGCCCGUUCGCACAGCGCACCAGACUCAUCCUUGUGGCUAAGAAUGUGAAACAUGACAUCGUGAAUGUAAACCUGAAGACCAAACCAGAAUGGCUGUUUGAGAAGAACCCCCUCGGAAAGGUUCCCGCCCUGGAGAAAGACGGGAAGAUGCUUUUUGAGUCCCUCGUCACCUGCGACUACCUGGACGAGGCCUACCCAGACCCCCCCCUCUACCCCUCCGACCCCUGGCAGAAGGCGCAUGACCGGGUUUUCAUGGAACUGUGGUCGAAGGUGACAGGCCCGAUGUACAAAGUGUACUUCGCAAAGGGAGAUAAGGAGGCGCUUGCCAAGGCAGUCGAGGACAUUCAUGCUGGUUUGGGCCUUUUCGAGACUGAGUUGAAAAAGAGAGGCACCGUGUUCUAUGGUGGAGAGAAACCUGGCAUGCUGGACUACAUGAUUUGGCCGUGGGUUGAGAGACUCCCAAUGGCAGAGAUGAUGGCUGGAGACUUGAAGGUGUUCCAGCAAGAAACCUUUCCCAGACUGUCCUCUUGGAUGGAGGCAAUGACACAGGACAAAGUUGUUCAGGCCACCUACUUGCCGCCAGAAGCACAUUUCGAGUACCUCACCUCAGUUAGAAAUCGGAUGGGGAUGCCGCCCAAGCUGUAGCAAAACUUGAUGAUGAACUUUCUCUAGGUGGAGUUAAGUUCAUAGUUCGAAGGUUAUAUCAUUUUGUCCCGGGGGGCGUCUUUUGUGCUGGAGAUACGCGGCUAAGCUGGCGGAUGUCUUUUGAUUUUGGAAGUGAAAUUUGAAUGGGCGGAGAAAAUGAAGGAAGACAAAGCCGUGAGCGCAGUCUUCAUAAGUGCCGAGUCCCAUUUCAAGUUCCUGAAGUCACACAUCGACGGUGCUCCAGAUUACGACAUGGAGGUGUAGGGGGCUUAAUCAUUCCAAGAUGGAGCGGAAACGUGUGGAAAUUCAAUGGAAAUGUUGUUUAUGUGUAGGCUGUUUUCUGUUCGGAUUUGUUCAGGCUUUGAAUGACGUUCUUUAUACUUCAUGAUUUGUUCAGUCAAUGGAUUAUUUUCUUAUUGAUAGGUUGUCUCUCAUUUUAAGAAGGUAAUGUGUUUUUUCGGAAAGCUUUUAAAUACAUAUUAUCAAUUAAAUACUUAAUUGUCCAUUAAAUUAUGAUAAAAAGCUUCUGUUCUGAAUAUCUCCAUAUAUUAAGCUGAAUAUGUGUUGGUGAAUAGGUGUAUGUAUAUCAGUUAUCAUUAAAAACUUGAUAUGUUUCAAUGACUUUAUGUAUUAAUAUCAGGAAUAAUAAUAAGUCAGUUGAUUAUA